rnacentral:rRNA from 1 species
AGAGUUUGAUCAUGGCUCAGAUUGAACGCUGGCGGCAGGCUUAACACAUGCAAGUCGAACGGUAACAGAACUAGCUUGCUAGUUGCUGACGAGUGGCGGACGGGUGAGUAACGCGUAGGAAUCUACCGAAUAGUGGGGGACAACAGUUGGAAACGGCUGCUAAUACCGCAUACGCCCUACGGGGGAAAGGAGGGGAUCUUCGGACCUUUCGCUAUCUGAUGAGCCUGCGUGAGAUUAGUUAGUUGGUGGGGUAAUGGCUCACCAAGGCGACGAUCUCUAGCUGGUCUGAGAGGAUGAUCAGCCACACUGGGACUGAGACACGGCCCAGACUCCUACGGGAGGCAGCAGUGGGGAAUAUUGCACAAUGGGGGAAACCCUGAUGCAGCCAUGCCGCGUGUGUGAAGAAGGCCUUCGGGUUGUAAAGCACUUUCAGUUGUGAGGAAAGGUUAAGGGUUAAUAACUCUUAGCUG